UUGCCUACGGGGGGCUGCAGUGGGGAAUUUUGGACAAUGGGCGCAAGCCUGAUCCAGCCAUGCCGCGUGCGGGAAGAAGGCCUUCGGGUUGUAAACCGCUUUUGUCAGGGAAGAAAAGGUUCUGGUUAAUACCUGGGACUCAUGACGGUACCUGAAGAAUAAGCACCGGCUAACUACGUGCCAGCAGCCGCGGUAAUACGUAGGGUGCAAGCGUUAAUCGGAAUUACUGGGCGUAAAGCGUGCGCAGGCGGUUAGGCAAGACAGAGGUGAAAUCCCCGGGCUCAACCUGGGAACUGCCUUUGUGACUGCAUAGCUAGAGUACGGUAGAGGGGGAUGGAAUUCCGCGUGUAGCAGUGAAAUGCGUAGAUAUGCGGAGGAACACCGAUGGCGAAGGCAAUCCCCUGGACCUGUACUGACGCUCAUGCACGAAAGCGUGGGGAGCAAACAGGAUUAGAUACCCUUGUAGUCGC
rnacentral:rRNA from 1 species